UCGGCAAUCAUGGAGGCUUUCUCCAUGCCGGCAAGUGCAAACAUGUGCGCUCGCAGCGAUUUCGAAAAGUCAGUCGGUAGGUUCAAAGCACUGCAAUCUGCACAGUUCCGAGAGCACACGUGUUUCUGUUCGUCCUCGAAUGGAGAAAGCUUUGAUCUUUGUAUGUCGGUACUGUGGCGCGCCGUACGCGAACAAGUGCAAUGUGCAGAGACGCCUAGGUGCAGCGUGUAAACAUCACGCGUUUGUAGCAGAGAACCAGUUUGGCUGUAACAUGCAAGGACUCGUCAUGCUGUGUCCGAGCAGCGUCGUCUUCUGACUACGGCAUCUGAGGUUUGAAGACAUGGAAGGAAGCAGCAAAAAAGGAUACUUGCUUCAAUGCAAAAGGAAGUUUGUGGGAAAAGAGAAUUCUGUGCUCCCUCUGUGACUAAUCUGCAUGUUACACUUCACAAGGUAUGACAGUGGACGACAGUGACUAGUGGUCUUCCUUUGCUGUGCCAGAACUUUUGAUUCAGGGCCAUGGCAGUGGGCAAGAGGAGGAUUACGAAGGUCGCGUCCAACAGCUUAGUGGACUGAGUACUGCUGGCCUGCUGCAGAAUAGCUAGUGGCAACACUGGCUAUAAAAGAAAAUCUGACUCAGCAUGAAGACUUCGCAAGUCACUGAAGUAGUGGCCAAAGGCAAGACAUCUAUGUUUGUUUCUUAGGGCAGCUUGUGGGUGGACAUUCCGAGGGGAGUGUUCUUCAAGAAGAACUGACAGUGUUGAGGCUUCCAAGAUCUUUGCUACACCGCUCAUGCUGUGCUGGGAUUUGAGGUGGAAGACACUGAGAGCCCCUCUGUUGCUGUAAGAGUCAUCGGAAGUGGACUCGGGGGAAGUAAUCUCACUCCCAGGCCAUCAUUUUGAUCCGAGCCUUUGGAGUGCGUGUGACAAAGUGGUUCUGUAGGUAAACCGAUGAGCUACGAAAAGCGCGCACGCCACUUUGUACUUUCCAAUCGUGUUCAAACGGGCCGAGUUAAGCGGGAAUAUGGGGCUAUUCUUAGAAACAUCUAUGCGCCCACACGAUAGACGAAAAAACGAAAGGCGAGAAGACAUGCGGGUGCGCCCGUUAGUCUUCCCAUUUGCACGUAAGGACGAAAUUGGGUGCGCACGCAGAAAAUUGCAUCAAAAUGUUGAAUCCACAUGUGCGUUGAAGAGAGACCAAAAUUGAAUGGUGAAUGAAUUUAGACUGAUGACUUACUUUUUUAAGAACUGUUGUGUUGCAAAUAUCAUCAGUAGCAAAUGUUUAUAAUAGAAAAGACAAUGAUCAAAGGUUCGCCCUUAAAUUUAGCUCUGAGAUCUCUGCAUAUGAAUGUCAGUGUGAUGUCAUAGACUUUAAAAUGUUUCUUCGUAUAUUGGCCAUAGUAGUUUUACGAGGUUUCCUGAAACUUGGUACAUUAAGUCUCGGGCCCCCUUAUGAGGCAGUGUACUUCAUUUUAACUGUUUAAAGACUAUGCAGGCAUAAUAGACGAUGUCGAAAUCCAUGACAUCACAGGAAGUUGAUGUGAGAACUUCGUACUGACAUUGCCAGCUGCAUCAUCAUAGUGCAUGUGUUCUUGUUCUCCUUCUGGCAAGAGUUGACUGCGUUUGGUAUUGUAAAUUUGCUGAUUUGAGAAAAGAUUGUCCUUCUCUUUUACUGCCCUUCAAGAUACUUUUUAUAUUCUUGUUUUAUGAGACUGCGAAAGUUCCUGCUUGUGACGAAACAUGCUAUUGGGUGGGAACUACUUCGCAAGUUCGCUCAUUUGUUGUUUGUCGAGCAUCGCCGAUGUUUUAUGCAACUGUAAUACUGAGAACCCGGUUAUUUUGUUGCCAACCGCUGCUUUUUUUCCUGGUUGCUUCGUUGUUUUCAGUCAAUUCCAUCAUAGAUACCAUGGGAUUUAAUGCAUUGGAAACAUCGAAUCUAAGUCGAAAAUUUGGAAUCAUUCUAGGUCUAGGUAGACCCCGCUCCUAUCCCCCCCCCCCUUCCCUUCAAAAAAGUCCGAAGCCAGGAAAAUAAACGAAAAAAAACUUGAAUGUAGGCCGUAUAAAACAGCGAAGACAGUGUUUGCAAAAAUAAAACAUUUAUUGAACAUCAAUAUGAAACAAAGCAGUCGGUUCAUGAUGCAAAUAAUUCAAGAAGUGUAUACAGUCCUGUUGCCGUGUUUCUUUGUCGUUGUUUAUUUAGCACUGCUUCUAGUUAUUAGCGACAUAAAGAUGCCGUGCUUGCCGUUGCCGCGCUCAUUCCGAGUCGUCGUCGCUGACUUCUUUGUUGCUGUCUUCAAACAGUGCGUAAUUCUCGGUGCCAUCAAGCGCAUUGGAUAUUCCACACUUCUUUCCUGGGUUGCCGUCCCACACUGCAGCCCCUCCAGCAACGCAAAUUUUCUUGUCUACUCCAAAGUCCCGCUUGUCUCGAACGUUGGACGUUGACUCCCUGGCUAGGGCAACUUUUUUUUUAUAAGCGGCAAUAUAAUGACAUUGCCUGUAUGGGGCCAUUGAGCUAUGCCCCACACAGACCACUCAAAGCGCGACUCGACACUCGCCACAGAGAUCAAAAUGGCGGUCUCACGUGUGUACUUGAGCUAGGUGUUGGCUUGGUUACUUAUGGCUAUAAUACCGUUUAGGAGGCGCAAGUUGUGCACCAUUUUUCUCAAUGAAAAAUGGCACGUUUUUCAAAUUUUUUGAAUUUCAGCGGACCCUGGAGUUUGACAAAGAGAAAGUUGAAAAAAAAAAAAAACUAUCGGCCUAGAUUCGAAUAAUUACAGUAUGUUGCACAUUGCCACUACCAGUUGGCCCAAGUCAUGGUGGGUGAAAAUUGUAAGGUGUGAAAAGGAGCUUCUGAGAACAUUUUCCAAAACAUGUUGAUGCUGCCAUGGGAACUGGGAGUGAGCAGCCAUGGUACACAACCUUCGACAUAUAAAUCACCAUUACCCUGUGUGGCAGUCCUACAUUUUCGGUAAAAACUUUUUUUUCUAUUUUGAGUAAGCGUAAUUCCUCACAUAACAGUUCAAGUGCUCAACAUUUCCCACAUUUUCUCUCUUUCUUUUUCUGAUAUGAACUCAUCAAUUGAGAUUUGGUGCUUGAUAUAAACUUUGUAGAUUUAGUAUUAUCUCAUUUUUUGCAGUGGAAUUGCACGUGUGUUAUGAGAUGAAGAUAAUUAGAGAGAAUCAUGCUAUAUUUGGAACAUGCUAGCUUGCUUUAUUCACGUGCAGAACUUAGUUACAAGAGUCCCAUUUCACUGCUACAAAUGCAAAGCCAAGCAGUGUGGAUUGCAGCUUGAGAGGGAAGGUGGCGAUCAAAAAAAACUUUUUGCUUGGUUCUUGUGGCCCAUUCACAUAGGCAUGCACACGAAGCGGCAGAGGGGGGAAACAGCUCCCUCAUGGGAGAGGGGCGCCGUGAAGGACUUCGCCCCACCCCCACACGCCCAGGCGCAUUCACACUUGAGAAGCCAAGUGAAAACAAAACCCCAGAGAGGUCGAAAAACCACAUCCACAUGCGUCAAAAACAUUCACAUUCUUUCUACCCCUCGUACAUACUACUGCUCCCACCGCCUUCACCUCAUUGAGAAUUCAUUCCAUUUUGCUCGUUUUCUGAGCAAUAAAUUUCAUACCACAUUCUAGUUAUGCUUGCAAAGCACUAUAAAGAAAUACCGUAAAUACCCGCGUAUAAUACGAACCCGAAUAUAAUACAGUCGACUCCCGUUAAUACGAAGUUCACGAGAACCGCA